UUACGGCUAUAUCAUAUUGAAACAUUGGUUCCCAUACGAUCACCGAAGGUAAGCAACUUCAAGCCUGGUUAGUACCUAGAUGGGUGAUCGCUUUAAAAAAAACAGGUGCUGUAAG